rnacentral:tRNA from 1 species
UCUUUGUGUGCAGGUUCAAGUCCUGUUUUUCUAA